UAUGUUUAUAGUGAAUAAAUAUAGGAAUUUUUUAAUAUUAUUAAGUAGAAUUUUAAUUUUAAAGAAUUACAAAUAUUUAUAAACAUAAAAGUUAUAACCGGGACCAGGAUUAGAUACCCUGUUACUUAUAAGUAAAAUAUUUUGGAAUAGUAGUUAUUAUGAAAUUUAACGGAUUUGGCGGCAAGAUAGCCAUUUAGAGGAACCUGCCCUAUAAACGAUGAUCCACGAUUUUACUCUACUUUUAUUUGUAGCCAGUUUGUAUACCGCUGUUGUCAGUCAGUUUCUUCAGAAAACUUUCAUUCAUGAUUAGUAUCAUUGACUUCAAGUAAAGGUGCAGCUUAUAUAAAAGACAGAGGUGGGUUACAUUUAAUAGACUAAAACGGAUAAAGUUUAUGAAAAUAACUUUUGAAGGUGGAUUUAAUUGUAAAGUUUAUAAAAACUUGAUGUGAGCUCUAUCUUGUGUACACACCGCCCGUCGCUCUCUUUUUUAAAC
rnacentral:rRNA from 1 species